GGAGGCAGUGGCGGUACCA
rnacentral:misc_RNA from 1 species